rnacentral:rRNA from 1 species
AUGAACGCUGGCGGCGUGCCUAAUCCCUGCAAGUCGCGCGAACGGACGAGAAGCUUGCUUCUCUGAUGUUAGCGGCGGACGGGUGAGUAACACGUGGAUAACCUACCUAUAAGACUGGGAUAACUUCGGGAAACCGGAGCUAAUACCGGAUGAUAUUUUGAACCGCAUGGUUCAAAAGUGAAAGACGGUCUUGCUGUCACUUAUAGAUGGAUCCGCGCUGCAUUAGCUAGUUGGUAAGGUAACGGCUUACCAAGGCAACGAUGCAUAGCCGACCUGAGAGGGUGAUCGGCCACACUGGAACUGAGACACGGUCCAGACUCCUACGGGAGGCAGCAGUAGGGAAUCUUCCGCAAUGGGCGAAAGCCUGACGGAGCAACGCCGCGUGAGUGAUGAAGGUCUUCGGAUCGUAAAACUCUGUUAUUAGGGAAGAACAUAUGUGUAAGUAACUGUGCACAUCUUGACGGUACCUAAUCAGAAAGCCACGGCUGACUACGUG